rnacentral:rRNA from 1 species
UUGAACGCUGGCGGCAGGCCUAACACAUGCAAGUCGAGCGGAUGAAGGGAGCUUGCUCCUGGAUUCAGCGGCGGACGGGUGAGUAAUGCCUAGGAAUCUGCCUGGUAGUGGGGGAUAACGUCCGGAAACGGGCGCUAAUACCGCAUACGUCCUGAGGGAGAAAGUGGGGGAUCUUCGGACCUCACGCUAUCAGAUGAGCCUAGGUCGGAUUAGCUAGUUGGUGGGGUAAAGGCCUACCAAGGCGACGGUCCGUAACUGGUCUGAGAGGAUGAUCAGUCACACUGGAACUGAGACACGGUCCAGACUCCUACGGGAGGCAGCAGUGGGGAAUAUUGGACAAUGGGCGAAAGCCUGAUCCAGCCAUGCCGCGUGUGUGAAGAAGGUCUUCGGAUUGUAAAGCACUUUAAGUUGGGAGGAAGGGCAGUAAGUUAAUACCUUGCUGUUUUGACGUUACCAACAGAAUAAGCACCGGCUAACUUCGUG